rnacentral:rRNA from 1 species
UUGGAUUGAGACAACGUACAAACCUUAUCGAUAAACAAUUGGAGGGCAAGUCUGGUGCCAGCAGCCGCGGUAAUUCCAGCUCCAAUAGCGUAUAUUAACGUUGUUGCAGUUAAAAAGCUCGUAGUUGAAAUGAAGGGUAGUUGUGUAAUGAAUACAUUCGUGUAUUUUGUUAUUCAAGUAUCCUCCUUCUAAAUUCGAUAUAUGAGUAUUAAUUUACUUGUAUAUGGUUUUAGACAUUUACUGUGAGAAAAUUAGAGUGUUCAAAGCAGGCAUUUGCUUGAAUAUAUUAGCAUGGAAUAAUCAUGUAUGAUUUUCAUGAUGUAUUUGAUUGGUUUGGUUGAUGAGAAUAAGAUUAAAAGGGACAGUUGGGGGUAUUCAUAUUCAAUAGUCAGAGGUGAAAUUCUCGGAUUUAUGGAAGAUGAACAAGUGCGAAAGCAUUUACCAAGGAUGUUUUCAUUAAUCAAGAACGAAAGUUAGGGGAUCGAAGAGGAU